rnacentral:lncRNA from 1 species
UGGCUCGUUUAAUUUUCAUAAAAUUUUGUCAAAGUAUUUACUUUGACCCUUUAACGAAAAUAUAAAAAUUUCAAAAAUUUUGAACCAACCUCUUUGUCAGAAUAUUACACUGGUUAUAUAGCAGUUUGACAAACACCAAUUUUGAUCAUUGAGAAGCUUAAUAUUCCCUUUACAACACAACGUAAUUAAAACGUUAAGCUGACUUUACAGAG